CCUGGACUUAGAGCCUAUACUGUAGACAGGAACGGCAAGUAUGAGCCCCUUCAUGUAGACUCCAACGAUUUCCUCACAGGACAUUUACAAGAGAAUGAAUCUAUGCAUGUGUAUGCUCAUUAUGAGGAGGACGUUCUCUGCACAACAGUUUAUUUCCCAAAUGAAAUUUACUUUACUGAGCCGUCGUGGAGACACCUCCCUUCAUCAAGUGGGUGGGAUCUGAU